rnacentral:rRNA from 1 species
AGGAACAUGUGGUUAAUUCGAUGAUACGCGAGGAACCUUACCUGGGCUUAAAUGUAGAGUGCAUUGGUGGGAAACCAUCAUUUUCUUCGGAACUCUUUACAAGGUGCUGCAUGGUUGUCGUCAGCUCGUGCCGUGAGGUGUCGGGUUAAGUCCCAUAACGAGCGCAACCCUUAUCGUUAGUUGCCAGCGGGUCAAGCCGGGAACUCUAACGAAACUGCCGGUGUAAACCGAGAGGAAGUGGGGAUGACGUCAAAUCAGCACGGCCCUUAUGUCCAGGGCUACACACGUGUUACAAUGGCCGGUACAGAGGGCAGCUACCUGUUGACAGGAUGCGAAUCUCGAAAGCCGGUCUCAGUUCGGAUCGGAGUCUGCAACCCGACUCCGUGAAGCUGGAUUCGCUAGUAAUCGCGCAUCAGCCAUGGCGCGGUGAAUACGUUCCCGGGCCUU